AAAAAUUUAGUUAAUCAAUAACAUUAGUUUGUCAAGCUAAAAUAAUUAUUUACAUAAUAAUUUUUA
rnacentral:tRNA from 2 species